ACUCUCUUUUCCUCAGAAACCCAAACCCAAACCAAACCCAGUUACAGAGAGCUGAAGAAAAUGGGGAGGAAUACGACGAUGCUGAUGAGCAUGGCUGAUUAGAAAACUCAGGCACCCAAAGCAAAACAAACCGGAAUGUUCACCGGCAACAACGCUGAUGUCACCUUGGCACUACUUUUCUGAUCUGCCAUGCUCAUCAGCAUCGUCGUAUUCCUCCCCAUUUUCUUCAGCUCUCUGUAACUGGGUUUGGUUUGAGUUGGGUUUCUGAGGAAGAGAGAGUGGAGCAGAGAGGGAAAGUGUGUCAGGUCCCAUAAACGUGACUUAUUUAACAGAGUCAUGGAUGGAAUGUCUCCUACUCAAACGGUGGGGGACAAAUUGGUAAUAAAAUUUAAUUUAUAUCCUUAAUUUUUUUAAAAACAGAUUUAAAAGUAAAUCAAAAGUAUGAUACAAUUUUAGGGCACCAAGAUAUUCUGUUUCUCUUGGUGGAUGUUGAUCAGGGAGUUGCCCGCAAGAUGGAAAUUAAAGCCAUGCCUACUUUCCUCAUGAUGAAAGGAGGAGAUUCAACUGAUAAGCUUGUGGGUGCUAAUCCAGAUGCCAUCAAGAAAAUGCUCAAAUAAUAAUGAACUAUAGUGGGAAAAUGUAUGUGGAUGAUGCCCAUGAUUUUUCAUUAAUUAAGACCAUAAUUAAACAUCUUUGUGGUAAAUAAAACUAGUGCCAAUGUGCCUGUUUCAAUUCAGGACAUUGCCUAAUUGUAUUCCCAGCUCUGACGAACCAUCUAGCCAUAAUAUUAUAUGGUUUAGUACAAAAAUUAAAGGCCAAAUCACAUUUUUGGUUCU